GGAGGUGCCAUGGAUUCCAUUGUGUGUUGUAGGAUAACAUCGCAUAUCGGAAUUGACGGUCGGCUUCGUGAUCAAACCGUUAAAGAAUAAAUGGCAAUAAUAUCAUAAACGUUGACUUCAGCCAUGGAUUCAACAAAGCUGCAGCCUAGCUGCGGCGCAUCAUCUUGUCCGAUGCUCGAUAGGGCAAGCAUGGUGUCGACUUAUCGGGCGUCUGUAUGGAAUUUCGCGGUGUUCCAUGGAGAUAAUUUACACUGCGAUGAUUGCGAUGUGAUGUGCCAAUGCACGAUAUUGUGACGAAAAUUAAUCAUCGGAUAAGCAUGUAGGCGUGUUUUCCGAAGAUAUGCAAGACGCGGGUUCAAUUCCCACCACCUUCGCCA
rnacentral:tmRNA from 1 species